CACACACGCACACAGCCGUUUCUCCUCUCCCCUUUGUAUCCUCUCGAGCAGCUCCUUGCUCAUGGUUCCCGUUGGAAUUCUCCAGAGCCACACGUCACUCACAAUUCCCUUGGUGGCCACCUUCACCCCGACAACCGCCUAGCCAUCGUCACUAACCAGUGUUCCUCUUUUCUCUGAUCACCACAGGACUCGACUAGGACCAACCCCGACGAGACUCAACGCUCAGGUAAUCAAACACUCAUCUUCCUAUUUUGUUUCGAUAAGACCCUACUAGAACCCCCUGUAUGAUAGCGAAUCUUCCGACACCGCCGUGGUAAUUGCAUGCGACGAAGGACCCGAACUGUUGAGGUAAACAUUCACUACUCUCUCUUACCGAAAACAACAAAUCGACACCAAAGGGGGUCCAAAGCGACCUUUAGCCUUUCGGAAUUGAAGCCCGACUGAUUACCAAACACCCAGUCCUUUAACUCUAUCAAUUGCAUCCAAACGACUUAGACGAGCCACCGAGACUCUACUGUUGUUUACAAACUAAGACUUUGAUUGGAGCAGGUGAAUAUUUGGGCGUAUGCGACGUUUUCUGAAGAUUUGGGUGUUCACGUGAUGGUGCUGCAAGGUGUGGUACUUAGGCUUCAAGUUGGGUCAUGUAAUUGGGUUGAUGUUGAGUUUUGUAAUAGGUUCUGAAAUUUAUUUUUGUA